rnacentral:rRNA from 1 species
GAUGAACGCUGGCGGCGUGCCUAAUACAUGCAAGUCGAGCGAACAGACGAGGAGCUUGCUCCUCUGACGUUAGCGGCGGACGGGUGAGUAACACGUGGAUAACCUACCUAUAAGACUGGGAUAACUUCGGGAAACCGGAGCUAAUACCGGAUAAUAUAUUGAACCGCAUGGUUCAAUAGUGAAAGACGGUUUUGCUGUCACUUAUAGAUGGAUCCGCGCCGCAUUAGCUAGUUGGUAAGGUAACGGCUUACCAAGGCAACGAUGCGUAGCCGACCUGAGAGGGUGAGCGGCCCCAGUGGAACUGAGACACGGUCCAGACCCCAACGGGGGGCAGCAGGAGGGAAUUUUCCGAAAGGGGCGAAAGCUGGACGGAGCAACGCCGGGGGAGGGAGGAAGGUCUUCGGAUCGUAAAACUUUUUUAUGGGGGAAAAACAAAUGGGUAAGGAACUAUGCCGGUUUGGACGGUCCCUAAUCAAAAAGCCACGGCUAACUACGG